UUGGAGGGCAAGUCUGGUGCCAGCAGCCGCGGUAAUUCCAGCUCCAAUAGCGUAUAUUAAAGUUGUUGUAGUUAAAAAGCUCGUAGUUGAACCUUGGGCCUGGCUGGCCGGUCCGCCUCACCGCGUGUACUGGUCCGGCCGGGCCUUUCCUUCUGGGGAACCUCAUGCCCUUCACUGGGCGUGUUGGGGAACCAGGACUUUUACUUUGAAAAAAUUAGAGUGUUUAAAGCAGGC
rnacentral:rRNA from 1 species